rnacentral:rRNA from 1 species
AUUGAACGCUGGCGGCAGGCCUAACACAUGCAAGUCGAAUGGUAACAGGAAACAGCUUGCUGUUUCGCUGACGAGUGGCGGACGGGUGAGUCAUGUCUGGGAAACUGCCUGAUGGAGGGGGAUAACUACUGGAAACGGUAGCUAAUACCGCAUAACGUCGCAAGACCAAAGAGGGGGACCUUCGGGCCUCUUGCCAUCAGAUGUGCCCAGAUGGGAUUCGCUAGUAGGUGGGGUAACGGCUCACCUAGGCGACGAUCCCUAGCUGAUCUGAGAGGAUGACCAGCCACACUGGAACUGAGACACGGUCCAGACUCCUACGGGAGGCAGCAGUGGGGAAUAUUGCACAAUGGGCGCAAGCCUGAUGCAGCCAUGCCGCGUGUAUGAAGAAGGCCUUCGGGUUGUAAAGUACUUUCAGCGGGGAGGAAGGGAGUAAAGUUAAUACCUUUGCUCAUUGACGUUACCCGCAGAAGAAGCACCGGCUAACUCCGUG